rnacentral:lncRNA from 1 species
UUCUCUCUCAGGAAAUUAUAUUGGAAUGCAUGUGAGAAAGUGAUUUCUAAAAUGCCUCAUAAUGGUCUGUGUGGGUAUACAUACAUAUACACAGAUAAAUAAUUCAAAACUUUGGUACCUUAUUGUAGAUGUUUGUUCCUUGAACAUCUUGCAUACCAAGAUAAAUUAUUUUGGAUCACCUAAUAUCAAAAAGUGACAUACCCAAACCAAACCAAAACAAAAAAACAAAAUGUGGAUAGGCAUGGUAGCUGACGCCUGUAAUCCCAGCACUUUUGGAGGCUGAGGUGGGAGAACUCAGGAGUUUAAGACCAGCCUGAGCAACAUAGCAAGACCUCGUCUCUGCUAAAGAAAAAAUAAAAUGGGAGGUGGGGUGCCAGCCACAGUGGCUGAUGCCUGUAAUUCUGGCACUUUGGGAGGCCAAGGCAGGUGGAUCACUUGAGGUCAGGAGCUCAAGUGAUCCUCCCGCUUCAGUCUCCCAAGGUGCUGGGAUUACAGGUGUGAGCCUGUGUGCCUGGCCACAUUUUACUUUUCUUAGAGCAUAUUUAACACUUGGGUUUAUAUUUCACUAUUUGUGUAUCUU